UUGACCUCAAAUCAGGUGGGACUACCCGCUGAACUUAAGCAUAUCAAUAAGCGGAGGAAAAGAAACUAACAAGGAUCCCCUUAGUAACUGCGAGUGAAGUGGGAAGAGCUCAAAUUUGAAAUCUGGCAGUCUCUGGCUGUCCGAGUUGUAAUCUAGAGAAGUGUUGCCCGCGCUGGACCGUGUACAAGUCUCCUGGGAUGGAGCGUCAUAGAGGGUGAGAAUCCCGUCUCUGACAUGGACUACCAGGGCUUUUGUGGUGCGCUCUCAAAGAGUCGAGUUGUUUGGGAAUGCAGCUCAAAAUGGGUGGUAAAUUCCAUCUAAAGCUAAAUAUUGGCGAGAGACCGAUAGUGAACAAGUACCGUGAGGGAAAGAUGAAAAGAACUUUGGAAAGAGAGUUAAACAGUACGUGAAGUUGCUGAAAGGGAAACGCUUGAAGUCAGUCGCGUUGGGCCAGGGAUC
rnacentral:rRNA from 1 species